AUUAGGGGCCAAAAAGGGUCCAAAUAACAUUUUCUUGGUGUUUGCACUAUAACUUUAAUUUAAGUAAAUAGAAAUCUAUGAAAUUUUGACACAAGGUUUAUGACCACAAAAGGAAGGUUGGGAUCGAUUUUGGGAGUAUUGGUUCCAACAGUUUAGGAAUUAAGGGCCCAAAUAAGCAUUAUUCUUGGUUUUUGCACAAUAACUUUAGUAUAAGUAAAUAGAAAUCAAUGAAAUUUAAACACAAGGUAUAUGACCACAAAAGGAAGAUUAGGAUUGGUUUUGGGAGUUGAGGUCCCAACAGUUGACAAAUUAGGGGCCAAAAAGGGGCCCAAAUAAGCAUUUUUCUUGGUUUUCGCACCAUAACUUUAGUAUAAGCAAAUAGAAAUCUAUGAAAUUUAAACACAAGGUUUUGACCAUAAAAGGACGGUUGGGAUUGAUUUUGGGAGUUUUGGUCCCAACAGAUUAGGAAUAAGGGGCCCAAACGGUCCAAAAUUAAACUUUGUUUGAUUUCAUCAAAAAUUGAAUAAUUGGGGUUCUUUGAUAUGCCGAAUCUAACUGUGUAUGUAGAUUCUUAAUUUUUGGUCCCGUUUUCAAAUUGGUCUACAUUAAGGUCCAAAGGGUCCAAAAUUAAACUUAGUUUGAUUUUAACAAAAGUUGAAUCCUUGGGGUUCUUUGAUAUGCUGAAUCUAAACAUGCACUUAGAUUUUUUAUUAUGGGCCCAGUUUUUAAGUUGGUCCAAAUGGUGGUCAAAAAUAUUAAACUUUGUUUGAUUUCAACAAAAAUUGAAUCCUUGGGGUUCUUUGAUAUGCUGAAUCUAA
rnacentral:lncRNA from 1 species